rnacentral:rRNA from 1 species
UACGGAGGGUGCGAGCGUUGUCCGGAAUCACUGGGCGUAAAGGGCGCGUAGGCGGCCUGAUAAGUAGGGGGUGAAAUCCUGCGGCUUAACCGCAGGGCUGCCCUUCUAAACUGUCAGGCUGGAGCACAGUAGAGGCAGGUGGAAUUCCCGGUGUAGCGGUGGAAUGCGUAGAGAUCGGGAAGAACAUCAGUGGCGAAGGCGGCCCGCUGGGCUGUUGCUGACGCUGAGGCGCGACAGCGUGGGGAGCAAACGGG